CUACCAUGCAGUCGACGAUGAUCCUCACUUGUGGGGGGAUUAGUGGCGAACGGGUGAGUAACACGUGAGUAACCUGCCCUUAACUCUGGGAUAAGCCUGGGAAACUGGGUCUAAUACCGGAUAUGACUUUCCAUCGCAUGGUGGUGGGUGGAAAGCUUUUUGUGGUUUUGGAUGGACUCGCGGCCUAUCAGCUUGUUGGUGAGGUAAUGGCUUACCAAGGCGACGACGGGUAGCCGGCCUGAGAGGGUGACCGGCCACACUGGGACUGAGACACGGCCCAGACUCCUACGGGAGGCAGCAGUGGGGAAUAUUGCACAAUGGGCGCAAGCCUGAUCCAGCAACGCCGCGUGAGGGAUGACGGCCUUCGGGUUGUAAACCUCUUUCAGUACGGACGAAGCGAAAGUGACGGUACGUGCAGAAAAUACACCGGCUAACUACGUGCCAGCAGCCGGCG
rnacentral:rRNA from 1 species